GGGCGUUAAGUUGCAGGGUAUAGACCCGAAACCCGGUGAUCUAGCCAUGGGCAGGUUGAAGGUUGGGUAACACUAACUGGAGGACCGAACCGACUAAUGUUGAAAAAUUAGCGGAUGACCUGUGGCUGGGGGUGAAAGGCCAAUCAAACCGGGAGAUAGCUGGUUCUCCCCGAAAGCUAUUUAGGUAGCGCCUCGUGAAUUCAUCUCCGGGGGUAGAGCACUGUUUCGGCUAGGGGGCCAUCCCGGCUUACCAACCCGAUGCAAACUGCGAAUACCGGAGAAUGUUAUCACGGGAGACACACGGCGGGUGCUAACGUCCGUCGUGAAGAGGGAAACAACCCAGACCGCCAGCUAAGGUCCCAAAGUCAUGGUUAAGUGGGAAACGAUGUGGGAAGGCCCAGACAGCCAGGAUGUUGGCUUAGAAGCAGCCAUCAUUUAAAGAAAGCGUAAUAGCUCACUGGUCGAGUCGGCCUGCGCGGAAGAUGUAACGGGGCUAAACCAUGCACCGAAGCUGCGGCAGCGACACUGUGUGUUGUUGGGUAGGGGAGCGUUCUGUAAGCCUGCGAAGGUGUCCCGUGAGGGAUGCUGGAGGUAUCAGAAGUGCGAAUGCUGACAUAAGUAACGAUAAAGCGGGUGAAAAGCCCGCUCGCCGGAAGACCAAGGGUUCCUGUCCAACGUUAAUCGGGGCAGGGUGAGUCGACCCCUAAGGCGAGGCCGAAAGGCGUAGUCGAUGGGAAACGGGUUAAUAUUCCCGUACUUGGUGUUACUGCGAAGGGGGGACGGAGAAGGCUAUGUUGGCCGGGCGACGGUUGUCCCGGUUUAAGCGUGUAGGCUGGUUUUCCAGGCAAAUCCGGAAAAUCAAGGCUGAGGCGUGAUGACGAGGCACUACGGUGCUGAAGCAACAAAUGCCCUGCUUCCAGGAAAAGCCUCUAAGCAUCAGGUAACAUCAAAUC
rnacentral:rRNA from 6 species